rfam:Mus musculus chromosome 1, GRC primary reference assembly.
GGGAAUGUAGCUCAGUGGGAGAGCAUUUGUUUAUUAAACCUAAGACCCUGGGUCCAAAUUCUAGCACCA